GCCAGACACACAUUUUUGUACACUGGUCCACAUCAGGCAGUGGUUGUUUUGUGGCAGAGCAAGAAGGAAGGGAGGCUGAUAGACCCUCCCCCCACUUUUAGAAAGGGUAUUGUUGGGCAGAACCUUGGGGGAUGGGCAAGCCUAACUGUCAGAAACUGUAGUUUAACUUACAUUGCCUACUUUACUGCCAGAGAUGAGGUACUCAGAUACUCUGCCUUUAUCUCCACAAGAGGUUUCUCACUUUGGAGCAUGGAGGUCCCAAGUCAGGGUUUCUCUGUGUAGCCCUGACUAUCCUGGAAUUCCCUCAGUACACCAGGCUGGCAAGUAACUCAUGGAUCCACCUGCCUAUGUUGCUGGAAGUAAAGGUGUGCACCUCCACCACAAGGCUUCCUCAAGGCAUUUGCAAUCAUUCAACUACCAAAUGUGGAGGGUCUAGUGACCAUCCCCAGGGACCAGGCACAGGGAUAGCAGCUAAUGGGAAGCAGGCCCAGUAGCCCAAGCGAACAAAGUUCAGAGGGGCAGGAGGAAUACAUUUAGACACUCUACACAGCAGGGUGAUGGUCUUUCUACAGCAAUCUCUCCUAAGGUGUUCAGAGCAAAGGAUUCUUUUGCCCGUAGCACCUUAAAUAGGCAGCACAGAUAGCCAUAACCCUCUUGGUUUGAGGGAAGUGGGAAGGGAAUCAGCCAUGUUUGGAUUCCUUUUGGAGUUAAAUCCUAAAAGCACAGAUAGACAGAACCCCCUUGGUUUGAGGGAAGUGGGAAGGGAAUCAGCCAUGUUUGGAUUCCUUUUGGAGUUAAAUCCUAAUGGCUCCAUAUUCUGUGUGCAGGCCCCAGCCUAUUGGCCUCCACAGUUGUACAGUGAAGAGGCAGGAAGGACUGAGGCUGCAGUUGACCUAGCCCAUGAUGAAGGUCCUGCACUGGAUAACAGUCACUGAGAAUAACUUGGGAAGGAAUAUGAAGGUGUCCUGAGGAGGCAGAUCUAGGAGUGCACUUGACCUUUCUAGAAGGCCGUCAACAAAACUGAAACAGGACUCUGGAGACAUUCCUGUCUCCUAUGAUUUAGAUGAUGGAAACUGAGUGUACCAAAUAAUGAAAUUUCACUAGGAUCCUGGACAGAAGGUGGCCUCUAUGCCAGGUGUCAACACGCCAGUCACAGACAACACACAGGGGAAACAACAUCAGGCCUUUGGCAUCAGACACUAGAAAGUACUGCUGUAAGGUCUAGUGAAAGAACGCUAGAAUAGGUGUACUGUCCUAUCGUCCAGAAUUACAGGUGUGAGUGAGACAUUUAUAGUGACCAUAGUUUUAGUUGCUGCAUAGCUCCAUGGCUCUGAGAAUGUGAUACCUCUGUCCAAGGGAGGACUGACCUAGCUGAAUCCAACAGCGAACACACUCUGCUGUAUGGGAGGCCAUAUGCAAGCACAGACCUAGGACAAUUACACUGACCUCAGAGGGUUAGGGAAAGAUAGCACAGUCCUCAGGACAGCAGGAUCAACAUACCUCCAGGUACAAGGAAGACAUUUAGGAUGUCUGUUCUGUGAAUAUGAAUUUGAUGCUGGCGUCUUGGUAGUCCUUAAUAAAACUAAAAUUCUGUCUUAUUUGGCCCUCUCCAAGUAUCCAGAACUGCCUUUUUUCUGUACCAUGCAUGGGUCAUAAAAAUCCACCCUUCCUGGAGGCAGAGGCUUACAACCAGACCCCAAAAAUGUGUGAAACCUUCUGGGGGCUGUGAUGCUGGUGGUAUCCUAAGUCUGCUGGGCCUAUAGAGGCAGGGAGGAGUAUCUCAAGGAAUGAGAGGAAGGUGGGUUUUCCUAAUGGGCUUUUGCUUCCAAAGAAUGUGGUGAGGAUCUGUUACAUCUAAAGAGAAAUAGGUUUCUCAUCAUGAGUUCCAUGAUAGGUUUCUCCGUCAGGAGAACAAUUAAUCAUCAAGGCAGGAUGCUUCCCAUUUGGAAGAAGAGAGAGAGAAAGACUUUAAACAUCCUCUGGGACUUCUCCUAUAACUUUCCAAAAGUACUUUCUAUAAAGGGAUAUGGCAAUGCCACUGAAGGAAUGAGAGAGCACUGACUUAGGGUCAGACCUCCAGUUCAUCAUAUGUCCCACAGCAAAAAUUCAUUCAUUCAUUUAUUCAUUCAUUCAGUUAGUCAUUCUCUUCCUGUUUCUCUCACACCUUUGUCCUUCCCUCUUCACUGAAGAAAAAUGUGCCUACAAUGUCCCUAGUGUCCCCUACCCACGAACCAGUUUUCCAAAUAACACAGUUUGUGCUUCCAGCCUACAAUAGCAGGAUUCUUUUGGAUUUAGUUCUUUGACCUCAAUUCUGUGUGUCAUGACAGUCACAGAAACGAUGGCAGACUGCUGCCUCCCAGAGCACCCAACUGCCAUGCAGUAUAUUUACUUCUUCUGCACUUGGGUGGUCAUGGGUUUGUUUCUUUUGUUGGGAUCCCUAUUCUACAGUUGUGCAUUGUUUCUCCUAAAGUGAGCCAUAGAUGUCAUUAUAUUCACUAAGGUCCUAUUGUGCUAUACAAAGACCCUGGAAGAAUAGCUAAGUGAGUCUUCACAUAUUACUGAGAACUUGAGAGCUUGGAAUAGCUGGGACGCCUCAGGAAAGCAGCCAAGAUUUUCUUGCAGAUUGCCCUCUCUAGACAUGAGGAGACUCAAGCUAUAUUGCAAGGGCAGAAGAGCAGGGCCUCCUUGUGGACACCUAGGAAGAUACCAAGGUCAAAGAUCCCACUAUACUCAGGGUGUGCCCAAGAGUAGUGAUAUUAGUCCCUGAGAAUCCUUUGACAUGGGUCCAGGUUUAGCCCUCAUAGAGGAUGACAUAGGGACACUCAGGAAGAAGUACAGGGUUACACUGAAAAUAAAGGGAGGAAGCCUGCCCUGAAAUGCUGUCUCUUAGCAGUUGUAGGACAAGAGGGAGGAGGGAUUACUUAGAGUCAGUGAGUGUUUAGGACUGAGCUGGGCACUUCAACUUCUGGGUUUGAGUAUAAACACAGAUACUCAGAGACAUUCUCUGACUUUUAUGUUCAUAGUCCACCAUAAAGAGUUCAUUGACAUUGCCCUACGAAUUCCAAGGGAGAAAAGCAAGCAUUUUUGAAGAGUAAUGUACAUUCUAAGGAGUGCAGGUUCCAAUCAGUGUCUGAGUAGAGGUCACACAACAAAUGAGAUUUCUGUGUCUCCUCGUUCAGCAGCCUGCUGCCCCCUUUGAUCUCCUGAAUCAAUUAUUCCUCCCAUUACAUCUUCCCAAUUCUUUUUUAAAGACUACACAUUGUUUCCAGACAAAUCUCUGUUUCAUGAUAUUGUCCACUGCGUCCAGUAGACUGCUUCAUACUCCAGCAUGAAAUGGAUGUAAUUUGAAAUGCUAUCUUAAUCAGUUGUGACGAGUGAUAUGCCUAGGAUGUAAGCCUGGGAAUAUUGGCAUUUCAUAGAGAAUCUGUACAUUUCCCUAGCUAGAGUCUGACUUAUGUCCACAAUAGAAAUCACUUUGUCUGUGGUAGGCUAGUUUUGUAGACUGAAGCACUUUUAAUCUCUAUAGGACUCCUUCUGAGUGUGGGUGGGCUUUGUUCAGGUAUCUUUUUCCCUCAGGUUUUCUCCAGGGACCAGAGGAAAAUGCAUUUGCAAUUAGUACUCAUCAGGUGACACAUGAGCCGAUGCCCAGGGACAUCCCUCUCUGGACUACAGAGGCUGUCCUUCUCUUGGUUUUCAUAUGACGGGGGCUUCAUUUAGCACUUCAGUGCAUGCUAAACUCACAAGCUACAGACAGGAGGCCUGUCUCUAAACACAAUUCCUAGGUGUGAAACGGUUUGCCAUUUCAAUCUUUGGAAGAAUCAAGAUGGAACUCUUUUGAACUGCAAGAGGUAAAACAACCCUGAGAGUCCUGCCUUCAUUCUAUCCUCUGCAGUUUGCAAACAGAUUGCAAGCACCUUAUUACCAAAAUGGCAAGGGAUCUGCUCCUGAACUUUGCUGCAGUUCGCAUAAAGGACAGCCACAGAGUGACACUGGGAAGCCUCACUGUAUCUGGGGCUCCCAUUCAUGAGACAGCAGAAGAAAAUGUUAAGCAUGGAGACAGUUUUCCCUAUGACAUUUCUUCAGAUAGGUGUGGUUCUAAACACAGCAGCCUGAGCAGGCAUGAACAGAAUCAGUGCUUCUUAAAUUAUUGGGAAAAAUUGAAGGACAAGAAAUUUUGAGGAUAGAAAAAUAUAUGGCCAUGGAACAAGUCUUUGUGAAGGCCUUCAGCCAAGCCCACAUUUAUGGCAUGAUCCAGUAGUAUUAAGUAUGUCUUCAUUAUUUUCUCAUACUGUUACUUCUGCACAUAUGACAUGUGUGUCAUAGAAGUCACAGCACAUGGGAGGCUGAGGUGAUGUGGCCUGGAUAGUUCUCACUUGGAAUAGUCUGUGACUUUUCCUCACUCAUCUUUGGUUUCUCAAUAUCUUCUAGCAGAGGCCUCUCUGGGGCAACUGGUCAAAAGUUGGUACAUGAGGGGGUUUAUCUGGCAAGGUAAGGAACAUGGAACUUUGUGGGUUCCUGUUAGGAUGUUGUCCUGCAGCUCACCCUGUGUGUUCCCUAUGCAGAGGAGGUGCGCUGCUCUCUUAUCCCAGAGAGCUUCCUGCCCAGACUGCACUCAACAUUACCAUUGCAUGACUCCCUCAGGACAAGGUCUGGGGCCCGGAAGGGUUCAGGUUCACAAG
rnacentral:lncRNA from 1 species